rnacentral:rRNA from 1 species
UGGGGAAUAUUGGGCAAUGGGCGAAAGCCUGACCCAGCAACGCCGCGUGAAGGAAGAAGGUUUUCGGAUUGUAAACUUUUGUCCUUGGGGAAGAAGGAAGUGACGGUACCCAAGGAGGAAGCCCCGGCUAACUACGUGCCAGCAGCCGCGGUAAUACGUAGGGGGCGAGCGUUGUCCGGAAUGACUGGGCGUAAAGGGCGCGUAGGCGGCUAUGUAAGUCUGGAGUGAAAGUCCUGCUUUCAAGGUGGGAAUUGCUUUGGAUACUGUGUAGCUUGAGUGCAGAAGAGGUAAGUGGAAUUCCCAGUGUAGCGGUGAAAUGCGUAGAGAUUGGGAGGAACACCAGUGGCGAAGGCGACUUACUGGGCUGUAACUGACGCUGAGGCGCGAAAGCGUGGGGAGCGAACAGG